ACAGCUGGGUGGCGGCGGCACCACAGCACCGGGCAGCCCGGCGCGCCCGUCCUUGGGGGCUCAGGCACAGCGGGGAAUGGCGUCGGUUCCGGACUGAGAGGCUCGGGGAGGCUUUAGGAGGAUGCUAUGGGAUUUCGGGGUAGGCUCCGGGAGGGUCUGGGACUCCCUCUGCAGGGUCAGAGGGUUUCGCACCGUGGCAUCUGCGGGCCCAGCCCACUCCAGAGACUGGGCGGCUCCACAGGGGAGGCCCCACGGCCCAGGAACCGGGAAGCCCACCUGCGCCGUAAGCCCAGAGUUGGGCUGGAACCGGGUCCCCACUCCUCGCUGCCGGGCGGAAAGCAGGAGACCGCUCCGCCGCCACAGCCCGUGCGGACAACACAAACAUUCUUCAGUCCUCUAUUCUCCUCCAAAUUAGGUAUCCAUGGAGACAGGGCCGGCAGCCUGACAGCCCUACGGCCUAAUCCUGAUUUAGUGACCGUCCCUUUAACAGCCCACCCACCCGUCCACCCACCCCUGCGCUCCGGGCCGCCGCUGGGCGCAGGGUCCAGGCCGCGCGCUCUCUGCCCCGCGCAGACCCCUUCCCAGGCCUCCUCCUCUGGCGGGGGCAGGGGGACCAGCGGGGCUGGGGAAGGGCACCAGCAUUUGCUGAUCACCUACAGGGUGCUCAGCAAUCUGCGAAGGACCCUCUGCAGCGGCGGGGGGGUUGCUAGCAUGCGAAUCUCUGUGUAGAACAGGAGAGGGCUCUUGCGGUGGGGAAGUUUGAGGGGCCCUCUCUGGAGAGCUGGGCGCUCCGGGGGUCCCCCUUGUUGCCUGUAGCCCCAGGGUGAAGCCAGCCCCCACCCCUCCCACACACACACACAGGGGCCGCUGGACAAAGACCUGACGGAGUGGGAGGGGCCUGCGGGCCGGCCCUCGGGCUCCGGACGCUGGAUCCUUCUGGGACCCGAACCCGCAAACCUUGGCUCCCCACCCCCAGGCCAGCAGACGCCCCCGAGCCGGCUGCUCGCUUUCGCUGCAGCCCCCGCACCAGAGGGGGCUGCGAGACGGGUGCCCGUCGGCGGCCGGGCGGCUAUCCCCUGCUCUGCCCGCCCCCUCCCCCCGAGAAGUGACCCUCGGCUCCCACGUACCCGCUAGGGUCUCUCGCCGGCCCUGCCCUCCGACCCCCGCCGAGCUGAACCCCGCGACUAGCAGCCCCCGCCCUCUCGGCCCUCUCCGGCCCCGGGCCGGCGGACAAAGCUCCGGACACCCUGACCGAACGGUCACCUCCCCCCGCCCCAUCCCGGCCCGCCCGCGGCCCCGUACCUCGGCAUCACGGCCGGGUCCUAGCCCACAUUUGGAAGCAACCGGCACCCACGCAGGUUCUGGAACUUGCCAAGGUUCCAGGGGUUGAGCCCACUCCAUCCUGUCCAAAGGCAGAAGCCUCCUCCAAGUCCUGCACGAUCCGCCCUCUAACAUGCAAGCCCAUCUGGAACCUCUGGAAUCCUACUGGGCUUCUUCGCUCCCUAAAGUUUACAGACCCAGGGCAAAAUAGGGAACUGCAAAUCCAAGUGGCCCAGAGGUCUCUCCACCCCCACUCUGCCCUCUCUGGGCCUGAGCCUGACAGGAGAUUCCCAGCACAUCUGGUUGUACUUAAAUCAUCCAGCACUACUGGAGUAGGUUCCCUGCUUCUCUCCCUUCAGCCCCAGCCUCCUCCCCUUCCUACACCAGCCUUCCAGGUCUCUCCUCCAGGAUGCCUUCCCUAACUCAUCCAGCCUCGGUAUCUGCACCCCACCCUUGAACCUCCACCUCUUUGGGUCUGGAGUCUGCCAGGGUGUGGAAGGGAGGGUGUGUGCUCCGCAAGACUCAGUGUGUAGAAUCUCAUCCUUCCCGAGCAUUGGUCCUAGAUAGAAACCUUCCCUUCAGGUAAGGAAGGGAGCCAGCCAAGAGCCUCCCCUCUGCUCCCUUGGCCUCAGGGGUGGCUGUCUCCAGUUAUGGGUGUGUACAGUGGGGAGGAACAAGUUCAGAUCCAGGCAGAGCCAUUCCUUUGGCAACUCUUGCUGUCAGCCAUCUUCCAAAGAGCUUUGCAAAAUGUUAAAGAACAAAAGAGAAAUAAAUACAGAGAAUAUAGCAAGUAUAAAAAUGCACAGUCUAGGCCAGGCACGGUGGCUCACACCUGUAAUCCUAGCACUUUGGGAGGCUGAGGCAGAUGGAUCACUUGAGGUCAGGAAUUUGAAACCAGCCUGGCCAAGAUGGUGAAACCCCAUCUCUACUAAAAAUACAAAAAUUAGCCAGGUGUGGUGGCGGGCACCUGUAGUCCCAGCUAUUUGGGAGGCUGAGGCAGAAGAAUUACUUGAACCCCGGAAGUGGAGGUUGUAGUGAGCCAAGAUCACACCACUGCACCCCAGCCUGGCUGACAAAGCAAGAUUCUGUCUCAAAAAAAAAAAAAAAAAAAAAAAAGAAUGCACGGACUCUAAAGAACAAGUUUGUAACCUACCAUGACCUGCUCCACCAGGGCUCCAGGUUUGAAUGUUCAUUCAUUCUUUUAUUCAAUAGCAUGUACUGAUGCCUGAGUCUACUAAGUUCUAGGAACAGUGACUCAAGUAAGAUCCCAGGGUCAGUGGGGGACAGGAACAGGUGGAUGAACAAAUGCUGCAUGCUGUAAUGGACAUGAGUCAGGGAGACAGAGGGGUGCCAAGGUUGAAGGUCAGAGACCCUGGACUGAAUCCCACCUCUGUCACUUUCUGCACUGUCUCUGGGGAGCCACUUAAUCUUGGGGAGCCUGUCUCCCCACCUGGAAAAGGACGAUGAUGUGACCUCACAGGGUCGUAGUGGGACUCAAAUAAGAUAAUGUGUGUGAAAACGCCUUGCAAAGUGCUAAGUGAGUUGUUGCUAUUAUGAUUAGGCUCAGGGGCUGCCUAUCUGACACUCAUUUUUCUAAUGCCUCAACAGCUGUCUCUCUUACCCUCCCAGGGCAGGUACCACGUUGGAGAAACUUCUGAGGGUGAAGGACACCCACCCUAGAGUAGUGGGCAGUUAAGCUGCCCGCAUAGACACACACACACACACUUUAGUUACACAAGCAGAACACCUUUUUAUAAAAAUUCGAAAGGCAUCAUGUGCCUACAGCCUCAGUUACUCAGGAGGCCGAGGCAAGAGGAUUGCAUGAGUCCUGGGCAACAGAGUGAAACCCAUUUCUACUAUUUAAAAAACACUAAUAAGAAAAAAUAGAUAAGCAGAAAACAAAAAAAUUAAAAAUCCAACGCCUUUAAUCCCACCACCCAGAGAUAACCACCAGUAAUAUGUUGGAGUCAGUUAGCCGGUCACAGUGGUGGGGGGCCUGUGGUCCCAGCUACUCGGGAGACUAAGGUGGGAGGAUUGCUUGAGCCAGGGAGAUUGAGGCUGCAGUGAGCCGUGAUUGCGCCAAUGCACUCCACCCUGGGCAACAAAGCAAGACCCCAUUUCAAAACAAAACAAACAAAAAACCAUUUUGGAGUCAGCUAGAUAUUAUUCUAUUUAUCUCUCUCUACACACACACACACACACACACACACACACACACACACACACACACACAUAUGUAUAUAUAGAGAGAUCUCCACAGUGUUUUAUAAUAUACUUUUCUUAAUAGACAAUUUUUUUUUUUGAGAGGGAGUCUUGCUCUGUUGCCCAGGCUGGAGUGCAGUGGUGUGAUCGCGGCUCACUGCAACCUCCACCUCCCAGGUUCAAGCAAUUCUCCUGCCUCAGCCUCCUAAGUAGCUGGGAUUACAGGCAUGUGCCACCACAGCUGGCUGAUUUUGGCAUUUUUAGUAGAGACGGGUUUCACCAUGUUGACCAGUCUGGUCUCAAACUCCUGACCUCAAGUGAUCCACCUGCCUUGGCCUCCCAAAGUGCUGGGAUUACAGGCGUGAGCCACCGCACCCAGACAAUGGACAAAUAUUUUGAACAUCUUUUGCUGUCUAUAAUACGUUUAUACCACACAAUUGUUAAUGACAGCUUAAUAUUCCAUCAAGUGGACAUGUCUAAAUUAAUUUAAAAAGUUUCCUGGCCAGGUGCGGUGGCUCUUGCCUGUAAUCCCAGCACUUUGGGAGGCCAAGGCGGGCGGAUCAUGAGGUCAGGAGUUUGAGACCAGCCUGGCCAACAUGAUGAAACCCCAUCUCUACUCAAAAUACAAAAGUUAGGUGGGCAUGGUGGCGCACUCCUGUAGUCCCAGCUACUAGGCAGGCUGAGGCAGGAGAAUAGCUUGAACCUGGGAGGCAGAGGUAGCAGUGAGCCAAGAUCUCACCUCUGCAUUCAAGCCUGGGCAACAGAGUAAGACUCUUCUGGAAAAAAAAAAAAAAGUUUCCUUUGUUGUUGAUUUUUUUCCAGAAAUAAAAGCUUCAUGAACAAACCUGUAACUUCCACCUUUGUGCACGCGUCUAAUUAUUGCCUUAGGAUAAAGUUCUGGUAACCAGAGGCUAGGAAUGCAUAUUUUUAUCUCUGAGGAGCCAGGAGCCCAGGCCUCUGGGCAGUGCUCUCACCUCUCCUCCAGGCAGCCCUCCCAGACCUCCAGGGUUGAGUACAUCUCCCAUGGUCCUUUCCUCUCCAAGUAACUUCAUC
rnacentral:lncRNA from 1 species